rnacentral:lncRNA from 1 species
CGGCUCGGUCACCUACUCUGGAGGGAAAUGUUUUUCACACAUUGAGUUUAGAAAUCGCCUGAUGAAGGUACUCCUUGUAUCCGAAACGUCGCGAAUUAGUUUCUUUAAAAUAAAGAAACCUAUCUCUAUUGACCAUCUCGCCUUUUUUCUGAGUUUUUGAACAUCAUGCUAGCUUAGCAUAACUAGCCUACUACCAUGAGCGGCCAUCGAGGGUAACACUCCUGGCCGACGAUCCAGCAUGGAAGGUUCCGUACGGGUUACCGGAACCCUACCCUCCCACCGAUGAGCCAACGUGAUGUCCACCUGCCGCAGUCCCAACCCCACCGCAUGGAACGCAACUGCCCGACGGCGACGGGGAGCUACCGCCGCGGCCGGCUAGCACGUGGUGAUGGACGCCACCACGGCCUCUGGUACCGGAGCUCCGCCCGGACCUCCAGCUGCGUUCGGGCCUGGCGCGGCCGGUCGAUCAUCAGAUGCGGGCGGCCAUCUGAUGUACACGGCCCUUCCCUUGCCUCCACACACCCUACGCAAGUCAACAGAGUACCCGAUUUGCGGGAAGUUCAUGAACCACCUGAGGCCACACCUGACGGGAUAUCACCAAGUGAGGAACGUGGAGGAGACAAUUCUGCUUGUCAGCUGGUCCAGUGGACGGGUUACAGGUAAACUGAACUGCCGUGUUUGUGACAAGGUGGGCCUGUCCCGCCUGGACAGACACCUGGCGGACCUCCACCAACUUCCUCCAAAUGUGAGUUCACUUAAAAAAAAAAACAUGCUACCUUUAUUGAUCCACAUAGGAAAUAUCCAUGACGCAGCAGA